AAUAAUGGUGAGCUGGAUGGGGGAGCCGCAAGGCUCGCCGGAUCCUUGUUAGCCGGUCGUACUAACCCUAUCCAGCUCGCCACCAUA
rnacentral:antisense_RNA from 1 species